UGCUGUGAAUGAUGAGAAAUUUUUCAAAUCAGUUAUCCCUGGCUGAUUUUUGUUAUGAUGACAUAUUGUUAUCUGACACAGAC
rnacentral:snoRNA from 1 species